rnacentral:lncRNA from 1 species
GGGGGGUGGUGGUCCAUGGCACAGAUCCAACCAAAACAAGCAGGUUGAGGCAUCUCCAACUGUGACAGAGGACAUAUCUUUGUAUUUUCCAAUUAGCUUGAAGACAUCUUUCCACCAAAAGCAUCCUUUUCUACCACUAAUGGGAGUAGAGGCUCCAGUAUAAUGAGUAUUCUACAUUAGUUGGACCCAGAGGAUAUCUGCUCAAUUUGUCAACCAUAUAAACACAUGAUUUGGUUGUUUGGAAGCCUUGUAUUGUCAGGGCCUGUUUUGAUGUCUUGUAUAUAAUCCAACCAAAACACAUGGGCCGUAGUUUUGUUUCUCUUUUAUUAGAUUUUUUUGGUCUUGGGCCAAAAUUAGUUAUACUAUUGGUUUUGACCGCAACCAUUGAAAAAAAAGAAGUGUGUGUUGGGCCUAGAAAAAGGAAUGAUAGGUAUCGAAGCCCUUUCUGUACUAACUUGUUCAUCUUGAUGCUGGCAACGAGGACUGAGUGCCAAUCUCCCCGUGGUCACCCCCUCCCCACCCCUGCCCUUGUCCCAAGUUGCAGAAGUCACCCAUGACCUGUUCUUCUUGGGCCCCGUUUGGUGGCAGCGGUGGCGGUCUGACAGCCGCUAACCUAGGCGUGCGGCUGCUGUACAGCUGUGUCGCCACAGUGUAUUGGCCCAUCAACAUGAUCUUGACGCCCAUGUUCACAGUGUCAUUAACAUAUACAUGUAUAGGUGGAGCAAGAAUAUCUGAUCCGCCAAGCCACUCCAUGUCUUGUUCAGAUGCUCUCCAUACUCUGGUUCUUCAUCAUCACUUCCUCAUCUACCUUCUUAGUUUCUUCGGCAUGU